rnacentral:rRNA from 1 species
UACGUAGGGGGCAAGCGUUGUCCGGAAUCAUUGGGCGUAAAGAGCGUGUAGGCGGCUUGGUAAGUCCGCUGUGAAAGUCCAGGGCUCAACCCUGGAAUGCCGGUGGAAACUGUCAGGCUCGAGUCCGGAAGAGGCGAGUGGAAUUCCUGGUGUAGCGGUGAAAUGCGCAGAUAUCAGGAGGAACACCAAUGGCGAAGGCAGCUCGCUGGGACGGUACUGACGCUGAGACGCGAAAGCGUGGGGAGCAAACAGG